ACUUGACAUUUACUUCUCACAGUCUUCUAGAGGAGCUUGCUCUGUCAUCCAGCCUGGAGUGCAGCAUGCAACGCCAGCUUACUGAAACCUCUGCCUCCUGGGCUUAAGCCAUCCUCUCACCUCAGCCUCCUGAGUAGCUGGGACUACAAGCGCAUGCCACCACACCCAGCUAAUUUUCUUUUUUUUUUUGAUGUUUUGUUGAGACAGGGUCUCACUAUAUUGCCCGGGCUGUUCUCUAACUCCUGGGCUCAAAUGAUCCUCCUGCCUCAGCCUCUCAAAGUGUUGCAAUUACACGCGUGAGCCACCACAACCCACCCAUAAUAAAUAUUUGUAAUUUCUACAAUGCUUGUCAUCUGCAGCCCUUCAAUGACCAGCAAACACAAAUAGCCUUAUUUUCCUGUGGUUGAAUACAUUUCAUAACACCUGGUAGCCAAGCUUACUCUGAGCCCCAUGAGACAGGAAGGGAAGUAUAUGCUUAGAUCAAGACACUUUGUAUCUUGCAAGAAAAGAAAUGGGUGCUAAAAGAGCAACUUCACAAGAAAAAAUGCAAAGUCACAAUUGAUAGAUACACAUGGCUUUCUCCCAUCUGGUUUUGGCAGGACAUCCAAUGAUUCCUUUGUUCUAAAAAAAUAUUUAAAAUCAUAGAUGAUAAAAACAAAUGGAAAAACAUUCCAUGCUCAUGGAUUGCAAGAAUUAAUAUCAUUCGAAUGGCCAUACUGCCCAAAGCAAUCUACAGAUUCAACACUAUUCCUAUCAAACUACCAAUGUCAUUUUUUACAGAAUUAGAAAAAAACUAUCCCAGAAUUCUUUUUUUUCUUUUUUCUUUUUUUUUUUUUUUGAGACGGAGUCUCGCUCAGUGCAAUGGUGUGAUCUCAGCUCACUGCAACCUCUGCCUCCCAGACUCAAGCAAUUUUUCUGCUUCAGCCUCCCAAGUAGCUAGGAUUAUAGGCACCCACCAACAUGCC
rnacentral:lncRNA from 10 species